AUCUGUUUAAUAUACAUGUAUGAUCAUUAUUAUAAAGGCCACGAGAGGGCAUCAUCUGAUAUUUUCCCUGAACCGGAUGAGGCGAGGCGAGGCUGGUGGAGUAUUUGAGUUCAGGCGGGAAAAACGAAUAGCCUACGUGAUGACGCAACACGUUGAAUGAAUUGUUUUUGUUUAUGCGAUGGCGCUCAACAAAAUAAAACACGUCUAGUGUACAUCACAGCGCACACCAGAAAAGAUGACAUCCGUGAUGGAGUGGCUUUUCAGCCCAGCUGUCCAAAACAUGUUUUUUGGACAAAUAACAGGGAAUGUCUCCUCAAAAAGCCCAGGGGAAUGCUGGGAUCCCCCUGCAGUGCUACACCCAGCACAACACCUCCAAGAGAAGAUAAUGUGAAAACCCCAACAGGCAAGUUGUUAUUUGGCCACCACACAGACAGAAUGGAAAAAUGUUGUUUUCAUAAUACAAAUGUUGUUUCUGUCUUGAAUCUGGGCUGAAUUAGGUGGAUUUAGGACUUCCAGUCACCAAACAAAGACUCCUAAGGAGCAGAGAUUUGAUUUGAAGGAUAGAUAAACUGGGGUCUGCAAAGUUUUUUUUCAAUCUGACCACAAAAAAGCGCAUUUGACUUUUUAAACCUAAAUUUUAUAUAGCUUAUAUAUUUGAUAUUAUUCUUUAAUUUCAAUAGUUAUAUUGUGAAAUAUUAUAAUUUAAAAUAACUGUUUUCUAGUUUAGUGUAUUUUAAAAUGUCCUUUCUUUAUUUAAUGGCAAAGCUGACUAUUCAGCAUCAUUACUCCAGUCUUCAUUUUUAUAGACCCAUUUAGUCUGUAUUCAGUGGUGGUCAUUCAGGUGGAGUUUUAUUAACAGUGGUGGUUCACAGAAGAAAUCCAGACCUACAGCAUCUGACCAUAAACCCAGCUCAACAAACCCACACAGAAGUGCCCAGCAGGUUCCACAGGGCUCUCCUGAGACGAGAUGCCCUCUUUGUGGAGAAUCCUUCAGUUUCUGAUUAUCUGCCUUUCCAUGCUUCCUCCUGCCUGGAUUGUGAUUCAGUGGCGCUCAUGGGAGUCAGGGAACCAGAGGUCAUGAUCUCACUGCACUCUUCUGUUUUUGGCUCUGGUGCAGAUGAGCAGCAUAUGGUUCCAUGUCCUCUAUGCUCCUUCCGAUUCCCCCCAGACUGUACCCAGCAGCACGCCAGCGCCUGUGGUGACCCGGUAGAGCCUGGUACUGCGUGACAGAACUGAGUGAAACCUUUUCAAAAUAGCAAAAUGCAAAUCAGAUAUUCUCUUGGUUUCUCUGGCCUAACAUUGUAUAUACUACUGGCUUAGGAAUUUUCUUGCUUAGGAAAAGUUUCAUUCUCCAGUUUUUGUUGUUUUUAGAGGCACUUUAUAGCAUUGGUCACUAUGAAAUGUUUGUCGUCUUAUCUGCUUUACACUCUCUUUUUGAUAUCAAGAUCAUAUUAGAAUGCUGUUUGUAAUUGUUUACAUUAUAUUUAUUAUUUAGAAUGUU